CGUAAGGAAGGACAAGGCUGUCCUAGAGUGCUAACGACACUCCGGCCCCAGUUCCCAGAGCCAGGGUUUUGCUCCACGGUGCUGGAAGACACCC
rfam:Culex flavivirus 17CxNGK-Ctr-C6P2 gene for polyprotein, complete cds